AUGCAAGUCGAGCGGGGGAAGGUAGCUUGCUACCGGACCUAGCGGCGGACGGGUGAGUAAUGCUUAGGAAUCUGCCUAUUAGUGGGGGACAACAUCUCGAAAGGGAUGCUAAUACCGCAUACGUCCUACGGGAGAAAGCAGGGGAUCUUCGGACCUUGCGCUAAUAGAUGAGCCUAAGUCGGAUUAGCUAGUUGGUGGGGUAAAGGCCUACCAAGGCGACGAUCUGUAGCGGGUCUGAGAGGAUGAUCCGCCACACUGGGACUGAGACACGGCCCAGACUCCUACGGGAGGCAGCAGUGGGGAAUAUUGGACAAUGGGGGGAACCCUGAUCCAGCCAUGCCGCGUGUGUGAAGAAGGCCUUAUGGUUGUAAAGCACUUUAAGCGAGGAGGAGGCUACUUUAGUUAAUACCUAGAGAUAGUGGACGUUACUCGCAGAAUAAGCACCGGCUAACUCUGUGCCAGCAGCCGCGGUAAUACAGAGGGUGCGAGCGUUAAUCGGAUUUACUGGGCGUAAAGCGUGCGUAGGCGGCUUAUUAAGUCGGAUGUGAAAUCCCCGAGCUUAACUUGGGAAUUGCAUUCGAU
rnacentral:rRNA from 1 species